rnacentral:tRNA from 1 species
UGGGUUAUGGCUCAGUGGUAGAGUGCUCGCCUAGUAUGUGUGAGGCCCUGGGUUUGAUCCUCAGCACCACAU